GUUUCAAAUGGCUUUGAGGAAGAUAAUGUGGCAAAAUCUUGCGGGAGAUUGCGGUAGAUGCAUUACGCACUUCAGAUUUUAUAGCUCCCAAAUUGUCUGGAAAGCUCUGCGGCCUAUGAUACUGAAGAGAAUAGAAAAUCGUGAUAAGGACUAUCCUGUUCGGGAAAUGGUUCCCGUGGCUCAAGAGGUCCUCAAGGCCAGAAUGCUUCUUAUUCAAGGCGUGUCCACUCUCAUCCAAGUGAUUCCAGUAUUGGCGUGCAAGUUCUGUGCGGAAGUAUAUAUCGGAGAGAAAGGUCAUUUAAUUCAGACUUGCUGGGGUUACAGACGUGGUGCUAAGAAUCGGGUUCAUGUGUGGAUUACUGGUGGUUUAAGUGAUAUACUCGUCCCAGUAGAGACAUUUCGCCUGAAUAAUAUGUUCCAAAAGAUUAUUAAACAUGACCAAAGAUUCGAUUUUGACCGUGUUCCUGCUGUUGUUGAGCUCUGCAGGCAGGCAGGUGCUGAUCAAACUACUGAGAAUUUGUACUCUAGUACAAGGACUUUGGACAGUGUCUCUAGUGGUCUUGAUAGAGCUGAUUCUCUGUCACCUGAGGAUCUUAAGUUGGUAGCAAAUGGGACUUUGAGAGCAUGGGAGACUCUUAGAUCAGGGGUGCAAAAGUUGUUGUUAGUUUAUCCAGCAAAAGUUUGCAAGCAUUGUUCAGAAGUUCAUGUUGGGCCAUCUGGACACAAGGCUCGCCUUUGUGGUGUGUUUAGGUAUGAAAGUUGGCGUGGAUCACACUUCUGGAAGAAGGCAGCAGUAGAUGAUCUGGUGCCUCCAAAGAUUGUGUGGCGGCAUCGGCCUCAAGAUCCUCCAGUUCUCUUAAAUGAAGGGCGGGAUUUUUAUGGACACGCACCAGCAGUGGUGGAUCUAUGCACAAAGGCUGGUGCUAUUGCACCAAAAAAGUAUUAUUGCAUGAUGAAAAUUCAGGGUUUGUCAGCAACAUUUCAAUACUGAAGAUCUCUGCUGAGUCAAUAUGUUGUGGUUCGGGCAUCAGGGUAUGCUAAUUUGGCGAUUAGAGCCUCUACAGCUUUUAUUACUCAUCUAAGUUGGAGCGCAGACAGACUCAUGAUCAAGUUGCUUGAAUGGCUCACUGUUGAAACCAGCUUCAGGGAUCAAAACAAAUGCUGACUGGGUUCACCUCUGUCUUCAUGAUGUUGAAAUAAGACAUGAAUAGCUGUUGCAAUUCUACUGUAAGUUUUGAUUUUUCCGAUUAGCAUAUUUAUCUUGAGAGGUGUUUGUAGUUUACUCAUUUGGUGUAAUGUAAUGGAAAGAUGUAAGGUUCCCUCUCUUAAUCUUGGAUGACAUUAUCUGCAGUUUUUGUAGGAUACAACAGUAAUCAGUGAACGUACAAGCUCGAAGAGGACAGAAAUGGCAACUAAUUGAUUUUGGAAACUUGGUUUUUUAUUUUAUGUUAUUUUAUUUUUUAACUGAUUAAAGGAAAUUCAUGCAAAAAGUAGAAAAUGCUUAACUAAUAUAAGCAUAUUCUGUAUUAUCAUUAGCAGAUUACAUUUCGAGUAGCAUCUAUCAUGAAGGUUUCCACUUUCCAGCACUUUUGCGCUGCUUGAAUUCUGAAGCUUACCUAUCAACUCAAACAUUUUGAGCUUCCUUCACCUGAAAUAUCUGUGGAAAAUGCUUAUUUUCAGUAGCUGGUGAGAUAUGUAGGCGGUGAAAAAUAUGAAAAAUGUGAGUUAUCUCCGUGUUCUAGUCCUGCAGCAACUCAUUUCAGCCAUAGCAACGUAGUGCGGAAACCUGCUUAAGUCAAUAAUUUUUGUCCUAGUUUUAAAACAAGGAGAGUUGAAAGGAAAAGUGUCAUUAUGGGAUUCACGGUAUGCUUAUUUAAUUUGAAUUGCACACUGAUUCGCCAAUUUUAGCA
rnacentral:misc_RNA from 1 species